ensembl:snRNA U6 U6 spliceosomal RNA
GUGCUUGCUUUGGCAGCACAUAUACCAAAAUUGGAACAAUACAGAGAAGAUUAGCAUGCCCACGUGCAAGGAUAACAUGAAAAUUUGUGAAGCAUCCUAUAUGUUU